rnacentral:rRNA from 1 species
GACGAACGCUGGCGGCGUGCUUAACACAUGCAAGUCGAACGGAAAGGCCCUGCUUUUGUGGGGUGCUCGAGUGGCGAACGGGUGAGUAACACGUGAGUAACCUGCCCUUGACUUUGGGAUAACUUCAGGAAACUGGGGCUAAUACCGGAUAGGAGCUCCUGCUGCAUGGUGGGGGUUGGAGAGUUAGGGGGUUGGGGAUGGGCUCGCGGCCUAUCAGCGUGGUGGUGGGGUAGUGGGCUAACAAGGCGUUGACCGGUAGCCGGCCUGAGAGGGGGACCGGCCACACUGGGACUGAGAUACGGCCCAGACUCCUACGGGAGGCAGCAGUAGGGAAUAUUGCACAAUGGGCGGAAGGCUGAUGCAGCAACGCCGCGUGCGGGAUGACGUGCUGCGGGUUGUAAACCGAUUUCGCCUGUGACGAAGCGUGAGUGACGGUAAUGGGUAAAGAAGCACCGGCUAACUACGUG